rnacentral:rRNA from 1 species
UGGGGAAUAUUGCGCAAUGGACGAAAGUCUGACGCAGCGACGCCGCGUGUGGGAUGACGCCUUUCGGGGUGUAAACCACUGUUGCCCGGGACGAAAUGCCCUUUCGAGGGAAUUGACGGUACCGGGUGAGGAAGCACCGGCUAACUCUGUGCCAGCAGCCGCGGUAAUACAGAGGGUGCGAGCGUUGUCCGGAAUCACUGGGCGUAAAGGGCGCGUAGGUGGCUGGGUAAGCGUGUGGUGAAAGUCCGGGGCUCAACCCCGGAUCUGCCGUGCGAACUGCUUGGCUUGAGCACUGUAGAGGCAGGUGGAAUUUCGGGUGUAGCGGUGGAAUGCGUAGAUAUCCGAAAGAACACCAGUGGCGAAGGCGGCCUGCUGGGCAGUUGCUGACACUGAGGCGCGACA